UACGUAGGACCCAAGCGUUAUCCGGAAUCACUGGGCGUAAAGCGUGUGUAGGCGGUAAGUUAAGUGCAAUGCGAAAUCUUGUGGCUCAACCAUAUAGACUGUGUUGCAUACUGGCUUACUAGAGGAUGGCAGAGGCAAGUGGAAUUGGCAGUGUAGCAGUGAAAUGCGUAGAUAUUGCCAGGAACACCAAUGGCGAAGGCAGCUUGCUGGGCCAUUUCUGACGCUGAGACACGAAAGCGUGGGGAGCGAACAGG
rnacentral:rRNA from 1 species